GUGGCCUUACACCUACCCAUUGAGCCCUUAAGAGUUCGCUCUGGGUUGGAGCCGGUACCGGGCUGCGAACCCUGUACCUACCAGCCUGUAGUCCGAUGGCUUAACCACUGCAUCAUCGAUGCCGGUCCCUUUAUUGCAGAGCUCUACCAUUUAUAGUAGAUCUCCCCAAAUUAUUGCAGAGCUCCACCCUUUAUUUCAGAGCUCCGCCCUUUAUUUUAGAGCUCCACCCUUUAUAGUAGAGCUCCACCCUUUUUCAGGGGUCCGCCCUUUAUUGCAGAGCUUUACCAUUUAUAGUAGAUCUCCCCAAAUUAUUUCAGAGUUCACCCUUUAUUUUAGAGUUCCAUCCUUUAUUUUAGAGUUCCACCCUUUAUUGUAGAGCUCCACCCUUUAUUGCAGAGCUUUACCAUUUAUAGUAGAUCUCCCCAAAUUAUUUCAGAGUUCACCCUUUAUUUUAGAGUUCCAUCCUUUAUUGUAGAGCUCCACCCUUUAUUGCAGAGCUUUACCAUUUAUAGUAGAUCUCCCCAAAUUAUUUCAGAGUUCACCCUUUAUUUUAGAGUUCCAUCCUUUAUUGUAGAGCUCCACCCUUUAUUGCAGAGCUUUACCAUUUAUAGUAGAUCUCCCCAAAUUAUUUCAGAGUUCACCCUUUAUUUUAGAGUUCCAUCCUUUAUUGUAGAGCUCCACCCUUUAUUGCAGAGCUUUACCAUUUAUAGUAGAUCUCCCCAAAUUAUUUCAGAGUUCACCCUUUAUUUUAGAGUUCCAUCCUUUAUUUUAGAGUCCCACCCUUUAUUGUAGAGCUCCACUCUUUAUUUAUAGUAGAGUUCCACCCUUUAUUGCUGAGCAGCUGGCUCCACCCAUUAUUAAAAAGCAUUACACUAGUGCAGAGUUCACCCUUUCUUGUAGAGCUACAUUGUAUGUAGAGACACCUUUUGUUAUAGACCUCUACCCCCACUCCGUUAAUGAAGUGCCAUGCUUUACUCGGAGCUCCAACCCGUUUCAGAACUAUAUCCUUUGUUGCAAGGCCAAAAUAACUGAUGUUUAUACAUUAAGUGUAUUGUACAUAAGAAGAAAAACUUUAUAGCAUUAUGUGGUUGUCAAAAUAAGAAAAAUGGCAGCUUUAAGGUGUAAAUUUGACAAACAAAGCGUGUUUUGUCUUUAAUAUAUUUAAUAUACAUAAAUUGUAUCAAAUAAAAUGUACUUUUGUUUCAUUUUAAAAACCAUAUUCAAGACUGAUUAUAGCUAUACAUGUAUGUCACGUACUCAUGGAAAAUUCCAUUCUACUUGUUUUCAUCUGUCUUAAUGUGAUCUGUAACACCAUACUUGUACUUGUCAGGCUUUUGGUGGUUAAUAAGGAAAUAUGGUUUUUGCUAACUUCUAGUAAGAAAUCUUGGAUUCAAGAAUUAUUGAUUGCUCAUUAUAAUUUUUAAAGUGACUGAAGGGGAAAAUGUCUGGUAUCGGAAAUAUUAGUAGUAGUUUUAGGUUUGUUAACCAUUUCCAUAUCAAUGGUUGUAAUGUGAGAAAAUGGUGUUCUAUUCUUUGUUGUUUUCAUAUCCAGUCUUGUUAAUUUUGUAAUUCAGUCAUGUUAAAUGUACAGUUUACUUCAUCAUUCAGCUGUGUUAACUAUUUAGUUCAUUUCAUCAUUCAGCUGUUAACUAUUUAGUUCAUUUCAUCAUUCAGCUGUGUUAACUAUUUAGUUAAUGUCAUCAUUCAGUCAUGUUAACUAUUUAGUUAAUGUCAUCAUUCAGUCAUGUUAACUAUUUAGUUAAUGUCAUCAUUCAGCCAUGUUAACUAUUUAGUUCAUUUCAUCAUUCAGCCAUGUUCACUAUUUUGUUUAUUUCAUCAUUCAGUCAUGUUAACUAUUUUGUUUAUUUCAUCAUUUAGUCUGUUAACUAUUUAAUUCUUGCUAUCAUUCAGUCAUGGUAACUAGUAUAUUUCAUCAUUCAGUCAUGUUAACUAUUUAGUUAAUGUCAUAAUUCAGUCAUGUUAACUAUUUAGUUUGUUUCAUCAUUCAGUCAUGUUAACUAUUUAGUUAAUUUCAUCAUUCAUUCAUAUUAAGAUCAUUUCAUCAUUUAACCAUGUAAACAUGGUUCAGAGAGCAUCAUUAUUAUUCAUUUGAGUUAGCUCAAUUUAUUUAGAUUCAUCACUGAAUCAUCUUUUGAUGGAACUGAAGAGGUACAUGUACAUUUGUGUGAUUAUUAUGUGGAUCAAACGGUGCAGUAGGAUGUACUGAAUUUAACUUGAUUACAAGUUAGUUGACCCACUCCUUGCAGUAAUGAAUAUAACCUGGUCAUAUUUGCUUUGAGAUCUUAGAUCAUAUGGAGUUAAUUAACUUCAUUGUAUAGUAACAUCCGUUACUGUGAUGGAUGAGAUCAUACAUUUUACUGACGUAUGUUUUGUUAAUCAGGUCACCUCAUGUUGUUGCUUUUAAUGUCUGAACAUGGAAUGUUAAACCUUGUAGAUGUGAUAACGCUUUCAAAACACUGCCAUUAUAUGGCGCGGUACACAGCGAAACUAGCAUAUACUUAUCUUAAUAUUGUACAUAUUCAUGCCCGAGUUAUGAAAAGAGUUACGCUUGGGUAACAGUGGGCAUGCAGUUCGGUGCAUGCACAGACCUUUUAUGUAUAUACUUGUAUUAUUUUACCAGGCACUUUUAUAUAUAUGCAAGUGGCUUUGAUCGCUACAAAUCUGUGAUAAAUUAUUAACAUGCCCUCGCUGCAAAUGUUCAUUUGCAAAUUGCAUGCUGAAAUAAGCUUUUCCCAAUGUUCAUUUAUACAUUUGUUCUUUUCAUUCUUCUGCAUUGAGGCAUUACUCAUUGAGUGCAGGGUUUUAGGGGAUUUUGUCAGUUGAUUAGGUACCAUGUUUUGGGGGGUUUUGUCGGUUGAUUAGGUACCAUGUUUUGGGGGGUUUUGUCAGUUGAUUAGGUACCAUGUUUUGGGGGGUUUUGUCAGUUGAUUAGGUACCAUGUUUGGGUAUUUAUGAGGGGUGAUCAAAUAGUUCUUGGCCUAAGACCACUUGGUCUGUGAUUAUUUGUUGCUCUUUGAAGUAAUCGCCUUGAAGGUUCACUCUCUUCUGCCAACAGUGCCUGAAUCCCUCUGAUAAAGGAUUCCUCCUGCAUUGGAAAUGACAUCAUUCUUAGUUGCAUAAUGUCUGCCUGAUAAGUCUGUUCAAGUUGGGAUAUAGAUAGAAUUAUAGAUCUGGGGAUGAGGGCAGACCGUAGCCCAGUGAUAAAGCACUCGCCGGAUGUGUGGUCAGUCUAGGAUCAAUCCCCAUCAGUGGGCCAGUUGGGCUAUUUCUCCUUCCAGCCUGUACACCACGACUGGUAUAUCAAAGGUAUAUGCUAUCCUAUCUAUGGUAUGGUGCAUAUAAAAGAUCCCUUCCUACUAAUGAUUAAGACAUCAGUGUGCUCAAGUGGUGUCAUUAAACAAAAAGAAAUCUAGAUCUGGGGAAUACAGUGAUGAUUGGUAAGAUGGAAACCCAUCAUGUAGUCAGCAGGUUCAUUGUCCUCAUGGAACAGCACAGCUUUGUGAAAGCUGCAUGGACAGCUCAUCCAUCAGAAUAUUCUCGCUUCUUUUUUUACAAGAUGCCCACCGGGUGGUUAGCCAUUGGUCUUAUAUAAUCCUAGUUAGGCCGAGAACAUUUUUAUCACCCCUCAGUCAUAUAGUAAUUAGUACAUGAAACUAUAAAUUGGCCAACUAGUUUUAUCUGAACUGACUGAUGCAGCGGUGUUUAUUCGGCAACUCCUAAAGCCCAGAGGUGUUGGUUCGUCUAACUCAUUUUACAUUUUACACUAGUCACAGCAUUCAAGCAGGCAGUAAAAUCAGGGUUGAAAAUGCAUUUAAGCAUGGUGGCCAGAUAAAUUAGUGUUACUGGUCCUUAAUAAAUUUAAAUAGCCCUCAAAUUACUGCAUUAAAAUGAGGAACUUGUUAGUAAUUACACACAAACAAAAUGGCCAAUUUAUAACUCGCAUUAUCUUUUUCAGUCCAAUAUUUUUUGUUGUUGUUUUUUAAAACAGAGUCACAGGCUGGACUAGCAUUUUAAAAUUUCGCCUUUUAGUCUGUAAAGGUUGCCUUGGGCAACCGGGCCCUGUGCUUAUAAACCUUAAAGUCUAGACUUAUUAAAGUCCAAACUUUAACAUCAUGGCAACGCCAUUCAAAUAGCAUUACAUUAAAGUCUGGACUUUAUUGAAGUCUAGACUAAGUUUUAUAAGCACAGACCCUGUGGUGACUAGAUUGUUAACACUGUAAAACGGACUGAAAAUUAUCUGUGUGGCCACCUAUGUUGAGUUGUCUUUCUUGUUGCUUUGCUCACUGUAGACGUAUUAACCAAGUAGAUCAGUCUGUUUCUAUGUUAUCUAGUUCAGUUGGUAGAGUGCUCACCUGAUGUGCUUGGGUUAAAGGAUCAAGUCCCCUCGGUGGACCUAUUCUCUGAUUGGGUUUUCCCCUCUUUCCCAACCAGUAUCCCAUGGAUGGUAUUUCAAAGGCUUUGGUAUGUGCUGUCCUGUCUGGGAAAGUGCACAUAAAGAUAGCUUGGUGCUAAUGGGAAAAUGUAGCAAGUUUUCUCACUUUGAUGGUUACAGAUUCAGAAUGGUACCAUUAAGGUGGCAUUUUAUGACAGCAGGGGCCUAAUUCACUAAACUCUCGCAACUUUGCGAUCUCGCAGUGCAAUGCUAAAAGACUUGCAAAGAGGAUGCUUUGUUGUCUAGCAGAGCCUAAGAGACCUUUGUGAAUCAGGCCCAGGUCAAUUUGUACUACAUUAGGUCAUGUUGAUGGUAACAGAUUCAGAAUGGUACCUUUACGGUGGCAUUUCAUGACAGCAGGUCAAUUUGUACUACAUUAGAUCACUUUGAUGGUUACAGAUUCAGAAUUGUACCUUUACGGUGGCAUUUCAUGAUGUCAGGUCAGUUUGUACUACAUUAGGACACUGAAGAUUACAGAUUCAGAACGGUACCUUUAAGGUGGCAUUUCAUGACAGCAGGUCAAUUUGUACUACAUUAGGUCACUUUGAUGGUUACAGAUUCAGAAUGGUACCUUUAAGGUGGCAUUUCAUGACAGCAGGUCAAUUUUACUAUGUGGGCUUUCAAGACAGGUGGCUGUUUUAGUUAAUAGAGGUGGGGUUUUUUUUUUUAGUUAGGUUUGUUUCCUGUUAGUCAGCUCAAACUGCUAGCUACUUUUGUUGGUGUUAUGUUUUACCUCAUGUACAUGACAUUGUAUGUAAACCAUGUAAUGUAGUAUCCGUGUAUGUUUAUCGUUUUCAAAUCAGGAACAUUGGUGAUGUUUUCAAACAAACGAUAUUACUGUUUUAAAAACACAAACAAUAUUACUGUUUUCAAAACACAAACAAUAUUACUGUUUUCAAGCACAAACAAUAUUGCUCUUUUCAAACACAAACAUAAUCAAGGCUCGGAAUUGACAUACAGAAUACAGAAUAUGCUUUCUGACGAUCCGUUUUCACAAGCAGCUUUUACUUUCCAUCUUUUCUGGGGGUCUGUGUUUGUGUCUUUGGACACUUAUUUCAGAUGUAUUAAGAAUUCCUAAUUUUUAGGAGUGAUAACAUAAAUGAUAAUCUUUUCUUAAUGUUUGUCUUAAGUCUUCCACAUUGCUGUUAAAGAAGCUGCACAUCGGUAAACAUUUUGAGACUCUUUUCCUAGAGCUGCUUCUCACUUUCUAGCUUCUGCUUCCAGAUUAAAAUCUUAGAUGCAGUGAUUGCUUCCCACUUCACAACAUGAAUUACGAGCCUUGAUUGUUGUUUUCAAAACAGGAACAUUAUGUACUCUGCUUGCUGCCAAGUAGAUCAAAUACUUGUAUUGUUCAGAUCCAAUAGACAUCUUCAAUAUACAUGUACUAGUAUAUAUAUAUGAACUGCCAAAUGGAAACUCCUUAUUUCAGUUCAAACUUCGAUCAAUGUCUCCCCAGUAUACUUAUAAUGAAAUAACCGAAACCAACCCAUGUUUUAAAUUUUGACAGUGACAAGUAAUAAGGGGUCCUCUCUUGACACUCCAUGACUGGUAUAUCAAUGGCCUAUUUGGGGGAAAGAGCAUUGAAAUAUCCCAUGUUGCUAAUGAAAAUAAAAAUGUAGCUGGUUUCCUCUCAAGACUACAUAUUAGACUUGCUAAAUAUUUGACAUCCAAUACCCGAGGAUUAAUUACUCAAUGUGCUCUAGUGGUGUCAUUAAACAAAACAAACUUUAAUUCCUGACUCUACACUUAAGCAACAAGCAAAUAGUUAAAUGUGUUCAAAGCAGGAACAUUAUUAAUGUUCUAUGGUGAAGAAGUACAUUUUCUCUACAUUGUUAGUAAUUAUGGUUUUGUGUAGCCCAGUCCACCAGUUGUAACAAAAAAUGUGUGUCCAAAUGUUUUAGCCAUUUUGAACAAAUUAUUCUGAAGCUCUAUUUUAUAUCUAAUUUUUGGUAAUAUGAUACACAUGUUCAUCUAAUUUCAAAAACAAAACCAUCCUCCUCGAAUGCAACAAAACCUGAAAAACCCCAAUCCCAAACCAGACAUGUUAUUUAGCUUCCUCCAACAAUGAGUUUGGUUAAACAAAUACUGACAUUAAUUGUUGCUACAGAAUAGCAUAGUAUUAAGAGUAUUAAGGUGGCUUAAACCAUAACCAAAUUAGCACCUUUAUCGGAAUAUUUGUGUUCAGUUUAUACAUGUUUUUGUUUCUGUAACUGAAUUGACAUAUUAAUCUAUGUCUAAGGCAGUAUUUACAAAUUGCAUUUUCAUUGUCUAAUCAAGGACAGAUACUGGUAUUUCUUAAAUAUCUGUACAACAGAUUGAUCAAUGUUCACACAUUUGUAUUGCAGUAAUGUCUUUUUUCUUCUUACUCUCUCCCCUCCCCCCAGCAUUUUAUGCUCAUUGUAAUUGUUCCACAACUGAUCACAUUGGUGUGUGUGGUGGGGAUGGGGGUGGUGGAGACAUAGCCCAUUGGGAAAUCACUCCACUAAUACGCAGACUAAUGCAGUCGUGUACCUGUAUAUUUAUAUUUCUGCAUUUUUAUUUUAUUUUUGUUUUUAGUGCUUCCAAACUUAUCAUCUACAAACUUCCACCCAGAAUUGUUUGGGGGUGGGGGUGAGGUGGCAAUGUUUUAUAUAUUUGCCCGAUAAAAUUAAAUUUGUUUCAUAUCAUGUUUGCUUAGGGAAAUAGGUGACAGAAGAUGGCAGAAUAAUUGUUUUAUGACUGGUGGGUGUAAUGCACCAAUUUCUACCAGGCAUAAAAGAAUUUUGGUGUCUUCCCCCCUCACCCCCACCCCCAUCUCCAUAAGUGAUCAGUUCUUGAACCACCCAAAGCAUUAUGGAUCCGUUGAUAACUAGUUUUAUCUCUUGUACAUAACUGUUUCUUCAUAGUAAUCAGUUUGCUAUGGUAACACCAUGGCUAUAGUAGCUUUUAUUUCACUUUACACAAAGGACUGAUUCUCACCUCAACUUUGUUUCCCUCACGAGCCAGAGGCGCCGCAAUAAUUAAAUGAAAUAGUGAAGGAAUCUGUGAAGAGAUGUAUUAAUAUUACACUGUAAAUAGUCACUCUGUGCUGUAUAUUUUAGAAACGGACGAUGAUCGGACAUUUGUGUACAGGUAUUAAUGUCACUGGUACUACGCAAGCUACGUACAUAUGUAUAUGUAUUUUAUAUGCAUUGAUUGAAUGAUGUUGUACAUGUAUGCAGAAACAUAUGAAUCAUUUUAUUAAAUAUAUGAAUGCCA
rnacentral:lncRNA from 1 species